GCCGGGAUAGCUCAUUUGGUAAAGCAAAGGACUGAAAAUCCCCGUGUCCCCAGUU
rnacentral:tRNA from 1 species